UACGAAGGGGGCAAGCGUUGUCCGGAUUUACUGGGCGUAAAGAGCGCGCAGGCGGUCUUGUAAGUCGAAUGUGAAAGCCCCUGGCUCAACCGGGGAGGGUCAUUCGAUACUGCUCGACUCGAAGGCAGGAGAGGGAAGCGGAAUUCCCGGUGUAGUGGUGAAAUGCGUAGAUAUCGAGAGGAACACCGGCGGCGAAGGCGGCAUCCUGGACUGGUCCUGACACUCAGGAGCGAAAGCGUGGGGAGCGAUCCGG
rnacentral:rRNA from 1 species